rnacentral:rRNA from 1 species
ACACACCGCCCGUCGCUACUACCGAUUGAAUGGCUCAGUGAGGCGUCCGGACUGGCCCAGGGAGGUCGGCAACGACCACCCAGGGCCGGAAAGUUCGUCAAACUUGGUCAUUUAGAGGAAGUAAAAGUCGUAACAAGGUCUCCGUAGGUGAACCUGCGGAGGGAUCAUU